rnacentral:rRNA from 1 species
GUGGGGAAUAUUGGACAAUGUGGGGAACCCUGAUCCAGCCAUGCCGCGUGUGUGAAGAAGGCCUUUUGGUUGUAAAGCACUUUAAGCGAGGAGGAGGCUACCGAGAUUAAUACUCUUGGAUAGUGGACGUUACUCGCAGAAUAAGCACCGGCUAACUCUGUGCCAGCAGCCGCGGUAAUACAGAGGGUGCAAGCGUUAAUCGGAUUUACUGGGCGUAAAGCGCGCGUAGGUGGCCAAUUAAGUCAAAUGUGAAAUCCCCGAGCUUAACUUGGGAAUUGCAUUCGAUACUGGUUGGCUAGAGUAUGGGAGAGGAUGGUAGAAUUCCAGGUGUAGCGGUGAAAGGCGUAGAGAUCUGGAGGAAUACCGAUGGCGAAGGCAGCCAUCUGGCCUAAUACUGACACUGAGGUGCGAAAGCAUGGGGAGCAAACAGGAUUAGAAACCCGGGUAGUCC